rnacentral:rRNA from 1 species
AUAUCAAUGAGCGGAGGAAAAGAAACCAACAGGGAUUGCCUCAGUAACGGCGAGUGAAGCGGCAACAGCUCAAAUUUGAAAUCUGGAGCCUUCGGCUUCCGAAUUGUAAUUUGAAGAGGAUGCUUCGGUUGUGGCCCUGGCCUAAGUUCCUUGGAACAGGACGUCGUAGAGGGUGAGAAUCCCGUACGUGACUGGGUGCUUUCGCUCGUGUAAAGCUCUUUCGACGAGUCGAGUUGUUUGGGAAUGCAGCUCAAAAUGGGUGGUAAAUUUCAUCUAAAGCUAAAUAUUGGCCAGAGACCGAUAGCGCACAAGUA